rnacentral:sRNA from 1 species
UCUGUCAACGGUAAGCGGAACAAAGUGAGCAUUAAGGAGUUAAUAGACUCACUAUG